rnacentral:rRNA from 1 species
AGAGUUUGAUCCUGGCUCAGAAUGAACGCUGGCGGCGUGCUUAACACAUGCAAGUCGAACGGUAACAGAGGAGCUUGCUCCUGCUGACGAGUGGCGCACGGGUGAGUAAUGCAUAGGUAACGUGCCCCUUAGUCUGGGAUAGCCACUGGAAACGGUGAAUAAUACUAGAUACUCCUUUUUACUUAAUGUAAUUUGGGAAAGUUUUUCGCUAAGGGAUCGGCCUAUGUUGUAUCAGGUAGUUGGUGAGGUAAUGGCUCACCAAGCCUAUGACACAUAGCGGGUCUGAGAGGAUGAUCCGCCACACUGGUACUGAGACACGGACCAGACUCCUACGGGAGGCAGCAGUGGGGAAUAUUGCACAAUGGACGAAAGUCUGAUGCAGCAACGCCGCGUGGAGGAUGACACAUUUCGGUGCGUAAACUCCUUUUAUAUGAGAAGAUAAUGACGGUAUCAUAUGAAUAAGCACCGGCUAACUCCGUGCCAGCAGCCGCGGUAAUACGGAGGGUGCAAGCGUUAUUCGGAAUCACUGGGCGUAAAGGGUGCGUAGGCGGUUUGGAAAGCCUGAUGUGAAAGCCUACAGCUUAACUGUAGAACUGCAUUGGAAACUUCCAGACUAGAAUACUGAAGGGGCAGAUGGAAUUAGUGGUGUAGGGGUAAAAUCCGUAGAUAUCACUAGGAAUACCGAAAGCGAAAGCGAUCUGCUGGGAAGUUAUUGACGCUGAGGCACGAAAGCGUGGGGAGCAAACGGGAUUAGAUACCCCGGUAGCCCACGCCCUAAACGAUGAAUGCUAGUCGACGGAAAGCUCGUCUUUUCGGUGAUGCAGUUAACACAUUAAGCAUUCCGCCUGGGGAGUACGGUCGCAAGAUUAAAACUCAAAGGAAUAGACGGGGACCCGCACAAGUGGUGGAGCAUGUGGUUUAAUUCGAAAAUACGCGAAGAACCUUACCAAGCCUUGACAUUGAUAGAAUCUUCCAGAGAUGGAGGAGUGCCUGCUUGCAGGAACUUGAAAACAGGUGCUGCACGGCUGUCGUCAGCUCGUGUCGUGAGAUGUUGGGUUAAGUCCCGCAACGAGCGCAACCCUCGUCGUUAGUUGCUAACAGUUCGGCUGAGCACUCUAGCGAGACUGCCUUCGCACGAGGAGGAAGGUGAGGACGACGUCAAGUCAUCAUGGCCCUUAUGGCUUGGGCUACACACGUGCUACAAUGGGGCGUACAGAGAGUUGCGAUACCGCGAGGUGGAGCUAAUCUCAUAAAGCGUCUCUCAGUUCGGAUUGGACUCUGCAACUCGAGUCCAUGAAGCUGGAAUCACUAGUAAUCGUAGAUCAGCAAUGCUACGGUGAAUACGUUCCCGGGUCUUGUACUCACCGCCCGUCACCAUGGGAGUUGAUUUCACCCGAAAUCGGGAAGCAAACCUUCGGGAUGCUACCGCUUACGGUGGAAUUAGCGACUGGGGUGAAGUCGGAACAAGGUA